GACGAACGCUGGCGGCGUGCCUAAUACAUGCAAGUUGAGCGCUGAAGGUUGGUACUUGUACCAACUGGAUGAGCAGCGAACGGGUGAGUAACGCGUGGGGAAUCUGCCUUUGAGCGGGGGACAACAUUUGGAAACGAAUGCUAAUACCGCAUAAAAACUUUAAACACAAGUUUUAAGUUUGAAAGAUGCAAUUGCAUCACUCAAAGAUGAUCCCGCGUUGUAUUAGCUAGUUGGUGAGGUAAGGGCUCACCAAGGCGAUGAUACAUAGCCGACCUGAGAGGGUGAUCGGCCACAUUGGGACUGAGACACGGCCCAAACUCCUACGGGAGGCAGCAGUAGGGAAUCUUCGGCAAUGGACGAAAGUCUGACCGAGCAACGCCGCGGGAGUGAAGAAGGUUUUCGGAUCGUAAAACUCUGUUGGUAGAGAAGAACGUUGGUGAGAGUGGAAAGCUCAUCAAGUGACGGUAACUACCCAGAAAGGGACGGCUAACUACGUG
rnacentral:rRNA from 1 species